rnacentral:rRNA from 1 species
CUGGAAACGGUGGCUAAUACCGCAUAACGUCGCAAGACCAAAGAGGGGGACCUUCGGGCCUCUCACUAUCGGAUGAACCCAGAUGGGAUUAGCUAGUAGGUGGGGUAACGGCUCACCUAGGCGACGAUCCCUAGCUGGUCUGAGAGGAUGACCAGCCACACUGGAACUGAGACACGGUCCAGACUCCUACGGGAGGCAGCAGUGGGGAAUAUUGCACAAUGGGCGCAAGCCUGAUGCAGCCAUGCCGCGUGUAUGAAGAAGGCCUUCGGGUUGUAAAGUACUUUCAGCGGGGAGGAAGGGAUGAAGCUUAAUACGCUUCGUCAUUGACGUUACCCGC